GAGGAAUAUUGGUCAAUGGUCGCAAGACUGAACCAGCCAUGCCGCGUGCAGGAAGACGGUCCUAUGGAUUGUAAACUGCUUUUAUACAGGAAGAAACCCUCUCACGUGUGGGAGCUUGACGGUACUGUAUGAAUAAGCAUCGGCUAACUCCGUGCCAGCAGCCGCGGUAAUACGGAGGAUGCGAGCGUUAUCCGGAAUCAUUGGGUUUAAAGGGUCCGUAGGCGGUUUAAUAAGUCAGUGGUGAAAUCUGGUCGCUCAACGAUCAAACUGCCAUUGAUACUGUUAGACUUGAAUAAUUGUGAAGUAACUAGAAUAUGUAGUGUAGCGGUGAAAUGCUUAGAUAUUACAUGGAAUACCAAUUGCGAAGGCAGGUUACUAACAAUUUAUUGACGCUGAUGGACGAAAGCGUGGGGAGCGAAC
rnacentral:rRNA from 1 species